ensembl:lncRNA LINC00635 long intergenic non-protein coding RNA 635
AACAGCAGCGUAGCUGAACAUCUUACGGAUGGCCCAGGGCUCCAAAGGCUCGUUUCCUAAGUGAGAGAGAGCCUGGCUGAAGCUGUAUUACCAUUCAUUCUCCAGCCUCCGAAGUCUCAAAGCAUCACUUCCACCAUACUCUAACUGUCAAGACAAACACAAAGGCCCAGACAUUACAUGUAAAUGGAAUCAUACAAUAUGUGAUCUUUUGUGACUGGCUUCUUUCACUUAGCAUAACGUUUUCAAGGUUUGUUCGUGUUGUAGCAGAAACUGCCAGACUGUCUUCUGAAGUGGCUAUAAUAUUUACACUCCCAUCAGCAGUGUAGAAGGGGUCUCACUAUGUUGUCUGGAGUGCUGUGGUGGAGUGGAGUGGCUAUUCACAGAGCCUGUUCUGCUGGGACACAGAAUCACUUGCUCCAUCUCAUACAUUGAUGAUGAUUAAUUUGUAUGUGUACCUUCCAAAAAAGAUGGUUGUGUUUGAAUGGAGGCCUUCUGGACAGGAAAAUUGCAAAGUACAAUUAACAUUUGAGUCUGUCUGAGUCAUGAAGAAAUGGAGAUUACUGAAAAUAAUUCAUUUUGGUAUCUUCUUACAUCCUGAGAGACUAAUCUUUCCAAGUUCAUCUGAGGCUCCUCUUCUCCAUGACAACCUCAUCCAGGGAUUUCUUCCUGUCCUGGUGUUUUAUGACAUAAUCACAUCCUUCCUGAGAUAAUGAGCACACAAUUGCCUGGAUACCUGAAGGAAUGGAGACAGCGGCAGAAAACACUGCAGAGAGGUGGAAACAUCCGUUAAUAUUUUAAAAUCCCAUUACUGCUACCAACAAUAAUAAUGGAUGCAUAGAAAUAGAUCUGGAUUAGCUGAGCUUGAAACAGUCCAUCUCACACACACACAAAAGAAUUUCAGAUACAGUGAACCCACAUGUUGAAGCUUUCUAGUAUAAUAAAAAUUUCAACUGUUCUGUUGAAUCAUCUGCCUGAUUGGAGGCUACAGAAAAGAUGUCAUCUUAGGAGUGCUUGCUCUGAGUGAGGCUCAUCUUCAAAUCUGAAUGACCACAAGGAGAUUUGAUUAUACAUGUGAACACCUCAGAAGGCACAGCCCACCCAGAAGGCAGACAGGUCAGGCUGCUUUUUCUUCAUUGCUUGGAUUCAAUCCUCCGGGCGGCUCAGGCUCAAACAUAACUUAAGCAUGAUUAAACUUUAGAAGAAGCUGCCAGGAAGACUGUGAAAUCUUCAUGCCCAAGGAUCCCUAAAAUUAGGAGCAACAACCACUUGGCUCAGACGGUUUAUGGAGGCAAAGGUUUGGAUGGGAUUAGAGAUUUCUAAAUGUGAGUUCGUGUCCUCUGCCAGACCACCUUACUUCCACCAUUCCUCAGCAAAUCAAGAAAAACAGGAGAAAAGACAUGCCUUUCCAUAAGUUAAAUCUAUUCUGUUUUAAUUCUAUAUUAUAUCUGCUGUACAACUUCUUUUGUUUGUAACACCAUAUUGUUGCUAGUAACUGGAAAUUAAUUUUCACAUGCCUCAGCUUAGAAAAAUAAAAAGCAGCCCUGCAUCA